CCUACGGGCGGCAGCAGUAGGGAAUAUUGCGCAAUGGGGGAAACCCUGAAGCAGCAACGCCGCGUGGAGGAUGAAGGUUUUCGGAUUGUAAACUCCUUUCGUUAGAGAAGAAAAUGACGGUAUCUAACGAAUAAGCACCGGCUAACUCCGUGCCAGCAGCCGCGGUAAUACGGAGGGUGCAAGCGUUAAUCGGAAUCACUGGGCGUAAAGCGCGCGUAGGCGGGAUAGCAAGUCAGAUGUGAAAUCCUAUGGCUUAACCAUAGAACUGCUUUUGAAACUGUUAUUCUAGAGUAUGGGAGAGGUAGGUGGAAUUCUUGGUGUAGGGGUGAAAUCCGUAGAGAGCAAGAGGAAUACUCAUUGCGAAGGCGACCUGCUAGAACAUAACUGACGCUGAUGCGCGAAAGCGUGGGGAGCAAACAGGAUUAGAUACCCGAGUAGUC
rnacentral:rRNA from 1 species